UACGUAGGUGGCGAGCGUUGUCCGGAAUUACUGGGUGUAAAGGGCGUGUAGGCGGGACUGUAAGUCAGAUGUGAAAUUCCAGGGCUUAACUCUGGCGCUGCAUCUGAAACUAUGGUUCUUGAGUGUCGGAGAGGAAAGCGGAAUUCCUAGUGUAGCGGUGAAAUGCGUAGAUAUUAGGAGGAACACCAGUGGCGAAGGCGGCUUUCUGGACGAUAACUGACGCUGAGGCGCGAAAGCAUGGGUAGCGAACAGG
rnacentral:rRNA from 1 species